UACGUAGGGUGCGAGCGUUGUCCGGAAUUAUUGGGCGUAAAGAGCUUGUAGGCGGUUUGUCGCGUCUGCUGUGAAAAUCCGGGGCUCAACCCCGGACUUGCAGUGGGUACGGGCAGACUAGAGUGUGGUAGGGGAGACUGGAAUUCCUGGUGUAGCGGUGGAAUGCGCAGAUAUCAGGAGGAACACCAAUUGCGAAGGCAGCUUGCUGGGACGGUACUGACGGCUGGAGGCGACGAAAGCGUGGGGAGCAAACAGG
rnacentral:rRNA from 1 species